UAAGGAAUAUUGGUCAAUGGACGCAAGUCUGAACCAGCCAUGCCGCGUGCAGGAUGAAGGCCCUCUGGGUCGUAAACUGCUUUUAUCAGGGAAGAAAUCAUUUGUUUCUACAGAUGUUGACGGUACCUGAGGAAUAAGCACCGGCUAACUCCGUGCCAGCAGCCGCGGUAAUACGGAGGGUGCAAGCGUUAUCCGGAUUUACUGGGUUUAAAGGGUGCGUAGGCGGGCCAUUAAGUCAGUGGUGAAAGCUCCGAGCUUAACUCGGAAACUGCCAUUGAUACUAUUGGUCUUGAAUUCGGUCGAGGUUGGCGGAAUGUGUCGUGUAGCGGUGAAAUGCUUAGAUAUGACACAGAACACCGAUUGCGAAGGCAGCUAGCUAGACCGACAUUGACGCUGAGGCACGAAAGCGUGGGGAUCAAACAG
rnacentral:rRNA from 1 species